rnacentral:rRNA from 1 species
GACGAACGCUGGCGGCGCGCCUAACACGUGCAAGUCGAACGGAGUGGCGGACGGGUGAGUAACACGUGAGCAACCUGCCCUUCAGAGCGGGAUAACGUUUGGAAACGAGCGCUAAUACUGCAUGCUGAAGGAUGGGCUCGCGUCCGAUUAGGUAGUUGGUGAGAUAACAGCCCACCAAGCCGACGAUCGGUAGCCGGACUGAGAGGUUGAUCGGCCACAUUGGGACUGAGACACAGCCCAGACUCCUACGGGAGGCAGCAGUGGGGGAUAUUGCACAAUGGGGAAACCUGAUCAGCGACGCCGCGUGAGGGAAGACGGUUUUCGGAUUGUAAACCUCUGUCUUUGGGGACGCGGUACCCAAGGAGGAAGCCACGGCUAACUACGUGCCAGCAGCCGCGGUAAUACGUAGUGGCAAGCGUUGUCCGGAAUUACUGGGUGUAAAGGGAGCGUAGGCGGGCUACAAGUUACUGUAUAAACGAUCGGCUCAACUGGUCGUGGCGAUAAAACUGUAGAUCUCGAGUGGAGUAGAGGCAGGCGGAAUUCCUAGUGUAGCGGUGAAAUGCGUAGAUAUUAGGAGGAACACCAGUGGCGAAGGCGGUCUGCUGGGCUCUAACUGACGCUGAGGCUCGAAAGCGUGGGUAGCAAACAGGAUUAGAUACCCUGGUAGUCCACGCCGUAAACGAUGAUUACUAGGUGUGGGUCCGUGCCGGAGUUAACACAAUAAGUAAUCCACCUGGGGAGUACGACCGCAAGGUUGCAACUCAAAGGAAUUGACGGA